CAUCUAAUCUACCCUUACCACCAUCCAAGGACGUGCGUCGUUAACCAAGAUCAAGAUCCGAAGAUAAAGAAAGCUUCUUUCAAAUUCAGGUGUAUGAGAAAUUUUCAGUUGUCAAACUCCGGAAUCUAUCAUUGCUAAAAUCCAAUUUAUUGUAUGUGUACCAAGAAACCGAACCAACAAUCAUCAACAAGUUGAAUAAAAACUUAAAGGCAACAAAACAAAACUAGACACAAGAACUAUUAAAAUAACCAAAACCUUUAUCAUCCUUGAAGAAAAAUCCUACUUUUUUUUUCUAUUUUUACCUUUUUUAUCCUUACUCCACACAUAUAUGAAUGUAGAAUCGUUUAGUGCUAGUUAGUGUCAGUUAACACAGUUAAAAUUAUUCUUAUCAUUGGCGGCCGAGAUCACUGUUUCGGGGCCUCACCUCGCGGGCCGGUACGAUCGUUCUCGCGAGGUGAGGGCCCGAAACAGUGAGAUGUCAGCAAUACGAGUAUGUAUGCGAUUGAGCGAGCCACAGCGUGAGAACAGAAACUAGCAUUAGAAAAAAAAAACUAUCUUUAAGAUUUAACCUCCAACCGCAGUCGCAGAGAAACAAAAACAAGCAUUGAUUCGCGCAAAGAACGAGAGCUAGCGAGUAUUAUCUCCAUCGGUGGACUCGAAGGACACUCGAAGGAUUGGAGGAACUCAGGGCAAGCAAAUAACGAAAAUAGCCCGCGAACUCUACUCUUUCGUUUUGAAAAUCUAAAAUCUUUAAGCUUUUCGGUUGUAAAUUUUUAUUUAAUAUAAAUGGAAAAUGUGAAAUCAACAGCUUGUAAUAAAUCAGUAUAGCCUA